rnacentral:rRNA from 1 species
CACUCCUGCGGGAGGCAGCAGUGGGGAAUAUUGGACAAUGGGCGCAAGCCUGAUCCAGCCAUGCCGCGUGAGUGAUGAAGGCCCUAGGGUUGUAAAGCUCUUUCACCGGUGAAGAUAAUGACGGUAACCGGAGAAGAAGCCCCGGCUAACUUCGUGCCAGCAGCCGCGGUAAUACGAAGGGGGCUAGCGUUGUUCGGAUUUACUGGGCGUAAAGCGCACGUAGGCGGACUAUUAAGUCAUGGGUGAAAUCCCGGGGCUCAACCCCGGAACUGCCUUUGAUACUGGUAGUCUUGAGUUCGAGGGAGGUGAGUGGAAUUCCGAGUGUAGAGGUGAAAUUCGUAGAUAUUCGGAGGAACACCAGUGGCGAAGGCGGCUCACUGGCUCGAUACUGACGCUGAGGUGCGAAAGCGUGGGGAGCAAACAGGAUUAGAAACCCUGGUAGUCCCAUGA